CCUUUAGAAGAUGAAGAACUGGUGUCUUUUAUCAUUGCUGGACUGGAUGCUGACUACAACCCGUUGGUCUCAUCUGUCAUGACACGCACAGAGCCCAUGAGUCUCAGUGAUUUGUAUGCACAAAUUAUGUGCUACGACA